rnacentral:ncRNA from 1 species
AACAAAGCAAUGAUAAGAAGAGUAAGUUUUGACACGCAUUUAAUAAGAGAGCCUCGGUAGCUGAAAAGAGGAAAUGUACGUAGAACUGAAGAUGGUCUUUGAGCAGAGUAGAUGAGCGAAUAAUCGUAAAUCUAUUACGGGUGCACCCGUUACAGUGCCACAGUAUAACGAGUUGCAUGAAAGCUCAAGUACUGAUUGAGGUUGAUUUAGUGAUGAAUCAAUAAACCAAGGUGGUAACACGAAACGUCAAAACUUUCGUCCUUGAA